rnacentral:rRNA from 1 species
GACGAACGCUGGCGGCGUGCUUAACACAUGCAAGUCGAACGGAAAGGCCCCUUCGGGGGUACUCGAGUGGCGAACGGGUGAGUAACACGUGAGUAACCUGCCCUUGACUUCGGGAUAACUUCAGGAAACUGGGGCUAAUACCGGAUAGGAAUCCUUGCUGCAUGGUGGGGGUUGGAAAGCUUCGGCGGUUUUGGAUGGACUCGCGGCUUAUCAGCUUGUUGGUGGGGUAGUGGCUUACCAAGGCUUUGACGGGUAGCCGGCCUGAGAGGGCGACCGGCCACAUUGGGACUGAGAUACGGCCCGGACUCCUACGGGAGGCAGCAGUGGGGAAUAUUGCACAAUGGGCGGAAGCCUGAUGCAGCAACGCCGCGUGCGGGAUGACGGCCUUCGGGUUGUAAACCGCUUUCAGCAGGGGCGAAGCUUGUGGUGACGGUACCUGCAGAAGAAGCACCGGCUAACUACGU